ACGAACGCUGGCGGCGUGCCUAAUACAUGCAAGUCGAACGAACUCUGGUAUUGAUUGGUGCUUGCAUCAUGAUUUACAUUUGAGUGAGUGGCGAACUGGUGAGUAACACGUGGGAAACCUGCCCAGAAGCGGGGGAUAACACCUGGAAACAGAUGCUAAUACCGCAUAACAACUUGGACCGCAUGGUCCGAGCUUGAAAGAUGGCUUCGGCUAUCACUUUUGGAUGGUCCCGCGGCGUAUUAGCUAGAUGGUGGGGUAACGGCUCACCAUGGCAAUGAUACGUAGCCGACCUGAGAGGGUAAUCGGCCACAUUGGGACUGAGACACGGCCCAAACUCCUACGGGAGGCAGCAGUAGGGAAUCUUCCACAAUGGACGAAAGUCUGAUGGAGCAACGCCGCGUGAGUGAAGAAGGGUUUCGGCUCGUAAAACUCUGUUGUUAAAGAAGAACAUAUCUGAGAGUAACUGUUCAGGUAUUGACGGUAUUUAACCAGAAAGCCACGGCUAACUACGUGCCAGCAGCCGCGGUAAUACGUAGGUGGCAAGCGUUGUCCGGAUUUAUUGGGCGUAAAGCGAGCGCAGGCGGUUUUUUAAGUCUGAUGUGAAAGCCUUCGGCUCAACCGAAGAAGUGCAUCGGAAACUGGGAAACUUGAGUGCAGAAGAGGACAGUGGAACUCCAUGUGUAGCGGUGAAAUGCGUAGAUAUAUGGAAGAACACCAGUGGCGAAGGCGGCUGUCUGGUCUGUAACUGACGCUGAGGCUCGAAAGUAUGGGUAGCAAACAGGAUUAGAUACCCUGGUAGUCCAUACCGUAAACGAUGAAUGCUAAGUGUUGGAGGGUUUCCGCCCUUCAGUGCUGCAGCUAACGCAUUAAGCAUUCCGCCUGGGGAGUACGGCCGCAAGGCUGAAACUCAAAGGAAUUGACGGGGGCCCGCACAAGCGGUGGAGCAUGUGGUUUAAUUCGAAGCUACGCGAAGAACCUUACCAGGUCUUGACAUACUAUGCAAAUCUAAGAGAUUAGACGUUCCCUUCGGGGACAUGGAUACAGGUGGUGCAUGGUUGUCGUCAGCUCGUGUCGUGAGAUGUUGGGUUAAGUCCCGCAACGAGCGCAACCCUUAUUAUCAGUUGCCAGCAUUAAGUUGGGCACUCUGGUGAGACUGCCGGUGACAAACCGGAGGAAGGUGGGGAUGACGUCAAAUCAUCAUGCCCCUUAUGACCUGGGCUACACACGUGCUACAAUGGAUGGUACAACGAGUUGCGAACUCGCGAGAGUAAGCUAAUCUCUUAAAGCCAUUCUCAGUUCGGAUUGUAGGCUGCAACUCGCCUACAUGAAGUCGGAAUCGCUAGUAAUCGCGGAUCAGCAUGCCGCGGUGAAUACGUUCCCGGGCCUUGUACACACCGCCCGUCACACCAUGAGAGUUUGUAACACCCAAAGUCGGUGGGGUAACCUUUUAGGAACCAGCCGCCUAAGGUGGGACAGAUGAUUAGGGUGAAGUCGUAACAAGGUAGCCGUAGGAGAACCUGCGGCUGGAUCACCCUCCCUUUCUAAACUGGAACACCCUCCUAAGAGUUUGACCUGGAC
rnacentral:rRNA from 1 species